GGUCUUGUAGUCUAGUGGUAGGACACUGGAUUCUGAUGCGUUUCGCAGGACAUUCCAGUAGCCCAGGUUCAAUUCCUGGCAGGACCU
rfam:Vitrella brassicaformis CCMP3155 genome assembly, contig: scaffold43